AUGUAUUUUUAUUCAUGUGCCACAGCUCAUUUAGACCAUUUCUUACUUGUAGAUACUUGGUUUCUUUUCAGUCCUUUGCUACUAAAAGAACACUACAAUGAGCAACCCAACCAUGAGUGCCUCUGUGAACACCAGUGGUGUUUUGAAGAACUGGUCCUACAGGCGUCAUUGCUGGAUGCACACUGCACGGGCACGCUGCAGAUGCGUCACAUCAUUCAGGAACAGCACGCAGGAACUGAUUCUCAACAGCCUCUGACAGGCAUGUGGCUGAGAAACACCUGGAGAGAGAAAAUAAAAUCAUUGACUGACUGCUCUGGGGAACAACUGGGCUUUCUCAUUUCCUUCUGGGCUGUGGUGUCAGCUGAGGACACUGUCCUGUAUGGAACAAAGGUGGCAAUGUUUGCAUUAUGGGGUUCCCCAGGAAUCAGGGAAGCUGGGGAUGGAAAAGAAGCAGGAGGCACGACAUUUGGGGCUAUACUAAAAUGAUCCAAGGUCCCAAAUUCACCAUCUCGGGUACUUAAAAUUUCACAGCAGUUUGAAGAAAAUGACUACCUCAUUUUCCUUCUCUCACACAAGUAAUUCAAAAACAAACAAACAAACAAACAAAAACACCAAUUUGGGAAGCUGAGAAAGGUGGAGCCCCAGAGCCCCGCCCCUUAGAAAUAUGAAGGAACCGCAGGCUCCUGAAUGGCCACUAGGUGGCACUAGUACGGAGCUGAUUCAGAGGUCAGAGCUCUACAUUCAUUCUUUCAAAAAACCAUCUCUUUUUAUCAACCUAGGGCAGCGACACUGAGGUAAACUGGAAGCUCGAGCUUGAAUCCGGCUGCACUUAUAAUCCCAUGGCGAGCCUUUUAUGUGAUUGCAGCGUUUAUCAUUAAUAGCGCAUUUGCUUCUGCAUCGGGGGCCUGAAUUAGCAGAGGUUUAAUAAUGGAAAGCAGCCUAAUGUUUACACUAAGCUAAGCAAGGUCACCCGGGUAUUCAGAGAAAUGACCUGAGCAGUCUCCCAGCAGGAUUAAUGUAAAUGAAGCCUUUCGUUGAUUAGCUUUGUUCCGCUGCCCUGCGCUUUCGAAAUGACAGGUUUCAGAGGAUCACAGUUUAAUUACAUAAUCAUACAAAAUAAUAUUUAAUAAAGCACAGAGCAAGCAAACACACUGGCAACAUUUCCUGGCUAUUACCAGCGACUGGAGGCAGCUUGAUACCGGCUUAAUUCUUCACUCUUGCAGAGCCCGGGUUAGAGAAGGAUCUGGAGAACAAUCGACAGGAUGGUAAUGGUUGAGCAGUAUGUGGCAUCCGAGUACUGUUCACAGUGCAUAGGGAGUGUGCAAUACAAAAAUAAUAAACAAUAAUAAAAAAAAAAACCUUCCCUGCUCACCAGUGACAGAGUUUCAAAUCAAUAAUUUAAAUGGGUUUUGCACUGCUCCUGUGCCGACUUCAUUACCAGGGUUUGAUUCCUUUGAAAUCAUUUCCCAUCCACCACUCCUUUUCACCUUGCAGGUCUUAGAACAGAGCUACCUAGGAGAGAUUCUGUGUGGGGUCGGGGGAGGGGAUGUUUAAACCGCAGAUUUAGGAUAAAUGCAGGCCUCUGCAUCCUGAGCUGGCCUUGUCCACGUGACUCAAUUUCAGGCGCCUUGUCACAUUCCUCAAAACAAACUCUGUGCUAGGGUAGAGAUGGCUUCAUUACCUCCAUCCUGGGGAAACUGGAUUGGUCUGGUUUCAAGUGGGGGGGGGGAACGGAAGGACAGGGUGUUGUUCUUUUAAGUUUAAAAAUUAAAAAGGCGCGAGAUGGAACCGGCGCGAUGGAACACGAACCAUGGAGAGUACAUUAAACAUAGAGUUUAUUCUAGGGCGUGAGAGAGAGAGACAGAGGGUAGGAGAGAGACAGGAAGGUAAGAGAGAGCACGAGAGUAAGAGAGCGUAAGAGGGCGGGGUCUGUCUUUUAAAGGGUCCUUUAUACCUGCUGCAACUAGUACCCGUGGAACCCUGGGCUGACUGGUGCUGGUAUUGCCUGAGUGCAUUCUGCCAGAUAACCGGGGUAAGCCAGUGUAAUGCCUGAACCUUCCACAGGGUGUGGUUUUGAAGUACAGAAAACCUCUCUCUAGAUAUCCAAGAGGUCAGAAUGGAUCUUGAGUUCCUGCUUAAAUUCACAGGCAGAAAUUCAGGUGAGAGCAGGUUUCUCUGGAAUGGAUGGAGUUCAGCACAAGGAAAAGCUACAUGGGUCUGUUAUUGUUGUAUAAUGAUUUAUCAGUUCUUUGCUCCAGGUUUCCGGAAGCAUCUAAAACACUUGUAAUUUCCUGGUGCUAGGAGCACCUGACCUCACUUCAGCUUAGGAUAAUGAGCAGGCUCUGGAUAGCAGCUAGUUCCCUAUCAUGAGCCUGAGCCCAGAACAGGUGGGGAGUUGCAUAAUGAAAGUUCAAUAAAAGGCCGGAGGAGGGGCAGGGUGCAGGAGCUCAUUGGGCUUAUUGGUUGGUGAACGCAUCCAUGCAAAGAGGACUAGAAACUAGUCACUAGAAAACACCUUUCUGGAUACUUCCAGACUCUUGCCCUAUGUCUCUUCCUUUGGUUGGUCCUGAU
rnacentral:lncRNA from 1 species